rnacentral:lncRNA from 1 species
ACAAAAGGAAGCACAAAGAUUACAGCUAUGCUUUGUCCAAGUGAAUGGAUAAAUUCUCACUCAUCCUCUUAGAGGAAAACUGGUAACAAAUGCUCCUUUCCAAGCCAGUUUUUUAAGACCCCAAGCCAGCUUUGGACCACGGCUUCAGUAGAUGUUUGUGUGUGGAUUUAGGAUGAUCCACUCUUAACUGUUACUUGCUACAGUGUUGCUCUCCUCCCUGUCUUCGCUCAGCGUGUAGAACGAUUUUUGAGAAGUUAGAAAACUUCUCCCAAACUAUCAUCAGCAAAUUCAUUUCCCAUCAAGAGGUCUGGUUAGCAGUGGAAAGGGACUUUGGUAACAUUAGACAGCCAAUACACAGCCAAGCACCUUUCAACAUUGCUACCCUACCAUUUACCAGCUAUGACCUUGGGCAAGUCAUUCUGCCUCCCUAAGCUUCACAUUCUUCAUUUGGAAGAAAUUAGGAAUAGUGAAACCUACUCCAUCUACCUCAACAGAGUGCCAAAUGCUUCAGAAAGAAUCCAGAUGAGAGGUCAUGAGCUUCUGCCAGAACAAAGACAGUGGUGAUCAAGGGAGAGAGUGAUAAGCUCUCAAAGGCAGCCAAGUGGAGAGGAAUGCCGACAAUGUGGAUUAGGCCAAGGAAAAAGUGUUGGAAGAUAAGUAAAUGACACACAAAUGAGUAAACGAGCAUCUACAUGCUU